UCUGAUAUUUCUAAUGUUAGUCAUGUUAAUGGAGAUUUAGUUAUCAUUUGAAAAUUCUAUGAUUAAGAGUUGAAGAUUUAUUGAAAAACAUAAAUGAGUAGAAAAUGGCGUUCGUACGCAAUACCAUGAAAGAAAGAAAAAAUAUACAUCUAUCUAAUAAGAUGAUAAUUGAAACUCAAUACUUGAUUCUCAUUCAUUCUCACCCCAUAAAAAGAUGAUGUGGCCAAUCUAAAUAGAGAGUAUUAGAAAAUACAACUCUCUCUUUAAUUCAAGCCCCACACAAUUAACUUUAAUACUUCUUUACACCGAAUUUACAUCUCCCACUUCACCCAUGUUCCCCUAACCCGAUUUUCUCACUAUCUAACUGACGAUACCGACCAAAAAAUAAAGCGAUAUUUUGAGUUUGGGUCGCAUAAAAGUGACCAGAGUUGUGUUUAGGUCACGGAGAAAAUUUAAUUAGAGUUAGGGUCACAGGACCGUAGUUGACCGGCUUGACAGUUAUAGAAUCUAGUUAAAUGAGUAAAUGACCAACAUAAUAACAGAGUUUGUUUUAUUUACUAACCCACCCAUCUACUUCUGUUAGACACGUGGAACCAUCAAAAUACUUAUUUUAGCGAACGGUUGAGAUCAAAACACUUACAGUUUUUACUUCAAACUAAACAAACAGAUAAGGUCUCUUUUUCCAGGGUUCUAUGUUGCGAAUAGGAUCUACAAACUGAAUCCUAAAAUUGAUUGCCAAUGGUUGAUUUGAGUUGAUACAAGUAUUACUACUUUUCGUUUUACAAUAUUCUGUAGCUAAAGCUGGUUUUGAGUUGAUACAAGUAUUACUACUUUUCGUAUUACUAUUAUGUGACCUAAAGUCAAAAUAUCCCAAAACAACCUACAGCGGCCUCCGAAUUUCAGAACUGCUGGCUUUGUUUUUCACAACCCCCUGUUUGAUUUGAUCUCUAAACCUAAACCUGAGUAAUUUCGUGUCUGCUAUUUUUCUCCUUGAAGAAUCAAAUAAACAAUCACCUUAAACAGAUUUAGGUUAGGCAAUUCCAGAUUCUGCAUGUGAUGAUUAUCAAUUUUGUGCACUAUUUUUUGAGAUUUCGGUUAAUUUCGGAUUGUAAAUGUGAUGAAGCAAUUGGUCUGUAAUCAACCAAUCUACUGGGAUUCUCCUUCUUAACCAUAAGGGUGAGAAAAACGUGCAUGUAUUCUCAAUUUUCUACACUGUUUUUUUAAGUAACCCUAACUGUUUGUUAAUCUUCUUUUGUGUUCACGCUCUAAAUUAGUUUUCUGUUAUUGAUGGGGAUGAUUUUGUAACCAAAAUCUGAAGGUGGUGGUGUUGGUUAAGAAAGAAAGUUAAACUACUUUUAAUUUUGCAUAUAAAGUGUUUGAUAAAUUACCUUCCUUAGGCAACUUCUCCCUUGCUUCAUUUGUCGUGGUGUUUCAGUUCGUAAACAAAGGGUUAUAAUUCUAUUAGAUGUUAAUGGUGAUAUUUCUUACUGUGAUGAUGAAGACACUUAAAACCCGGUCAUGGAUUAUGAGUUUGUAUGAUUGGAUAAUCAAGCCUAGCAAGUUUGACGAAAGUGUUGAUUUCCAUUUGUUCUGAGACGGGGUUGACCCCAAGUGGAAGAUCCAGAAUUUGAUAGCAGCCACAAGUGGUCUUUAUCAUAUAAAAGGAGAUGUAUUGGGAGAAAAAGAUUUUAGGAUGGAAAAGUGGUCCGGCAGAAGCCCCUUUCUAUAUAGCCUUACACAUAAAUGACAAGAAUGCAUAAGAAGCAAUCACCAUGCAUGAUCAACAAGAUAUGCUCCAAGAAAUUUCCAAAGAACCACUGCAGCGAGACUACUGCUGAAGAAAGUGGUUAUCCAAUAUUUUGAAGGCGAAAGAAUGAGAGCUCGCAAUAAGAACGGAUAACUCCUCGGUUGUUCCUCACAGUCACAACAGAGACAUAGUGGUGAGAUACAAUGCACACAACCUCCGCUAAUGUACAACAACAGUCCACGUCCAACUUCAUGAAGCUAAUGUGUUUUCCAAAGGAACCUUCAGUAAUCUUGCAUUUGUAAGUAAAUCCAUUACAUUGUUUUGUUUCCGUACUGUCAAAGAUGGUGAAAAUAUUUUUCUAAUGGGGUAUAUAUUUGAUGACU